CUGAAUAACCGAGCUGAUCGCACAGUCUUUGAACUGGCGACGCAUCUUUCAAGUGUCUGCCUUAUCAACUUUCGAUGGUAGUUUAUGUGACUACCAUGGUUAUAACGGGUAACGGAGAAUCAGGGUUCGACUCCGGAGAGGGAGCCUGAGAAAUGGCUACCACAUCCAAGGAAGGCAGCAGGCGCGCAAAUUACCCAUUCUCAGAACGAGGAGGUAGUGACGAAAAAUAACGAGGUGGUUCUCAUUGAGGUCCACUAUCGGAAUGAUGACAAUAUAAAUCCUUUACAAAGGAUCUAGCGGAGGGCAAGUCUGGUGCCAGCAGCCGCGGUAAUUCCAGCUCCGCCAGUGUAUACCUAUGCUGCUGCGGUUAAAAAG
rnacentral:rRNA from 1 species